AAAUGCGAUAAUUAAUGUGAAUUGCAGAAUUCAGUGAAUCAUCGAGUCUUUGAACGCACAUUGCGCCCCCUGGUAUUCCGGGGGGCAUGCCUGUCCGAGCGUCAUUGCUGCCCUCAAGCACGGCUUGUGUGUUGGGCUUCCGUCCCUGGCAACGGGGACGGGCCCAAAAGGCAGUGGCGACACCAUGUCUGGUCCUCGAGCGUAUGGGGCUUUGUCACCCGCUCCCGUAGGUCCAGCUGGCAGCUAGCCUCGCAACCAAUCUUUUUAACCAGGUUGACCUCGGAUCAGGUAGGGAUACCCGCUGAACUUAAGC
rnacentral:misc_RNA from 1 species